GACGAACGCUGGCGGCGUGCUUAACACAUGCAAGUCGAACGGAAAGGCCCUGCUUUUGUGGGGUGCUCGAGUGGCGAACGGGUGAGUAACACGUGAGUAACCUGCCCUUGACUUUGGGAUAACUUCAGGGAACUGGGGCUAAUACCGGAUAGGAGCUCCUGCUGCAUGGUGGGGGUUGGAAAGUUUCGGCGGUUGGGGAUGGACUCGCGGCUUAUCAGCUUGUUGGUGGGGUAGUGGCUUACCAAGGCUUUGACGGGUAGCCGGCCUGAGAGGGUGACCGGCCACAUUGGGACUGAGAUACGGCCCAGACUCCUACGGGAGGCAGCAGUGGGGAAUAUUGCACAAUGGGCGUAAGCCUGAUGCAGCAACGCCGCGUGCGGGAUGACGGCCUUCGGGUUGUAAACCGCUUUCGCCUGUGACGAAGCGUGAGUGACGGUAAUGGGUAAAGAAGCACCGGCUAACUACGUG
rnacentral:rRNA from 1 species